rnacentral:misc_RNA from 1 species
GAUGAAGAACGUAGCGAAAUGCGAUAAGUAAUGUGAAUUGCAGAAUUCAGUGAAUCAUCGAAUCUUUGAACGCACCUUGCGCCCUUUGGCUAUUCUGAAGGGCAUGCCUGUUUGAGUAUCAUGAACACCUCAACUCUCAUGGUUUGCCAUGAUGAGCUUGGACUUUGGGGGUCUUGCUGGCCUACGGUCGGCUCCUCUCAAAUGAAUCAGCUUGCCAGUGUUUGGUGGCAUCACGGGUGUGAUAACUAUCUACGCUUGUGGUUUCCCGCCAGGUAACCUUCAGUGAUGGAGGUUCGCUGGGGCUCAUAAAUGUCCCUCCACAGUGAGGACAGCUUUUGAACGUUUGAUCUCAAAUCAGGUAGGACUACCCGCUGAACUUAAGCAUAUCAAUAAGCGGAGA